rnacentral:rRNA from 1 species
UACGUAGGGGGCAAGCGUUGUCCGGAAUCAUUGGGCGUAAAGCGCGUGUAGGCGGCCCGGUAAGUCCGCUGUGAAAGUCGGGGGCUCAACCCUCGAAUGCCGGUGGAUACUGUCGGGCUAGAGUGCGGGAGAGGCGAGUGGAAUUCCUGGUGUAGCGGUGAAAUGCGCAGAUAUCAGGAGGAACACCAAUUGCGAAGGCAGCUCGCUGGAACGUAACUGACGCUGAGAACGCGGAAAGCGUGGGGAGCAAACAGG